rnacentral:misc_RNA from 1 species
GAAAUGCGAUACGUAGUGUGAAUUGCAGAAGUCUGUGAAUCAUCGAAAUUUUGAACGCAAGUUGCGCCGUUUUACUGACGGCAUACCUGUCUGAGCGUUGGUAAUAACAAAAAUCACAAAAAACGUUUGUGUUUUGUGGAGCUGAGUUUACAGCUGUCACUUUUCAGCUGUUGACUUGAAGUUGAUUCGUGUAUGAUCAGGAAAAGGUUGCGGUAAGUCACUUACCACUCUUUUUCUUGGUGUUUUCAGGUGCCAUUAUGUGCACAUCAUGUGAACAUUCUAGAAGACAGAGGAUAACAAUUUCUUGAUAAUGUAUGCGCUCAAAUAUAUGAACAUUCUGGUCGAUUCGAUUCGAAGCGAUCAUAAUGUCCAUCAUGAAAAAAUCAACCUCAGAUCAGGUAAGACUACCCGCUGAACUUAA